rnacentral:rRNA from 1 species
GACGAACGCUGGCGGCGUGCUUAACACAUGCAAGUCGAACGAUGAAGCCGGAGCUUGCUCUGGUGAAUUAGUGGCGAACGGGUGAGUAACACGUGAGUAACCUGCCCUUGACUCUGGGAUAACUGCGGGAAACUGUAGCUAAUACCGGAUACGACCCUCGGAGGCAUCUCCUGGGGGUGGAAAGAAUUUCGGUCCAGGAUGGACUCGCGGCCUAUCAGCUAGUUGGUGAGGUAAAGGCUCACCAAGGCGACGACGGGUAGCCGGCCUGAGAGGGUGACCGGCCACACUGGGACUGAGACACGGCCCAGACUCCUACGGGAGGCAGCAGUGGGGAAUAUUGCACAAUGGGCGCAAGCCUGAUGCAGCAACGCCGCGUGAGGGAUGACGGCCUUCGGGUUGUAAACCUCUUUUAGCAGGGAAGAAGCGAAGGUGACGGUACCUGCAGAAAAAGCACCGGCUAACUACGUGCCAGCCGCCGCUGUAAAAC